rnacentral:misc_RNA from 1 species
AACGCACAUUGCGCCCUGUGGUAUUCCGCAGGGCAUGCCUGUUCGAGCGUCAUUUCAACCCUCAAGCCCUGCUUGGUGUUGGGCCGGGCCCGUCGCGGCCGGCCCUAAAGACAGUGGCGGCGCCGCUCGGCUCUCAGCGUAGUACACCCCUCGCUGCGGUCCCGGGCGGCUGCCCGCCAGAACCCCGACUCUAUGGUUGACCUCGGAUCUGGUAGGGAUACCCGCUGAACUUAA